AGUAAAGUCAGCUAAAUAAGCUCUCGGGCCCAUACCCCGAAAAUGUUGUAUUCAACCUUUACUA
rnacentral:tRNA from 1 species